GGCUGCCUUUGCUGAUAUUGUCUGAUCUCAGAAGCUAAGCAGCAUUGGGCUAAGUUAUUACUUAGAGGGGAGAUUAGCUGGCAAAACUAGGUAUGGUAGGCU
rnacentral:rRNA from 1 species